UGUAUUGCUGUGUGUGUAUAUAUAUACGUAUAUGUAUAUAUACGUAUAUAUACACACACACACACACACACACACACACACACACA
rnacentral:miRNA from 10 species